rnacentral:misc_RNA from 1 species
UAGCGGGCGGAGCACGCGAACUUCGUUAGGGAAGGUUGGGUUUGAUAGUGCUAUAUAUACCGUGGGUUGAAGCUUGGUUGUAUUUAGACAAGGUGUAUAAAUCAAGCUCGGAUCCGAUGGAGCAAGCUAGCCGAAGCACACGGUACAGGUAUUAUAAGCAGAGUAUAAGUCAGUAUGCAACAAACAUGCGGGCUGAGCAGGGCGAGGAAGAUGGAAAGAUGGAGUUUCAACCUGUCGCCACCAAUGGUGCAGCAAACAUGGCUACAGCAGAAAUUCAAUCUGUCCCAGCUGACAUGUUGAUGUGUGAGCUUGCUGGAGGAGAUGAGGAAUUGGAUCAGAUUGUUGAUGAUGCCUUUGAUAAUGACCUGGUUUUGAGCGACUGUUCCAUCUCUGAUGGUGAUUCAGAACCUGAUGUCUUUGAAGACUGUCAGGGCAAUGAAGAGUGUGCAGACUCUGAUGGUGACCUUAGUGGCCCUGGACUGAGGCGCAAGAUUGCUACAUGGGCGAUUGAUUAUGGUAUAUCACAUGCAGCCCUGACUGCAUUGCUACUGAUUCUAAGUGCUCACUCCGCUCUAAAUUUACCCAAACAUGUGGCAACCCUGCUGGCAACGCAUCAGCUUGAAAAGCCUCUUGUCAUGGGUGGAGGAGAAUAUCAUUUCUUUGGCCUAUCAAACACGAUAAGAGGUCUGUUGAAAAAGCUACCGAAUCUGCCAACUGUGAGCACGCUUCAACUUCAAGUCAAUAUUGAUGGUUUACCUCUUUUUCGUAGCUCACAAGUGGUGGUGUGGCCUAUUUUAGGAAAGAUAAAAAAUGUUUCCAAAGAUGUGUUCACAAUAGCACUGUUCUGUGGCAAACAAAAACCACCUCUUCAUGCCUACUUGAAAGAUUUUAUCCUGGACUGCAAGACUCUAUGUGAACACGGACUCGCAUAUGGUCAAAAAACUUUUACAGUUGUACUAGACAGUGUAAUGUGUGAUGCACCAGCAAGGGCAUUUCUGAAGUGUAUUAAAGGACACUCCGGUUAUUAUUCUUGUGAACGAUGUGAGACGAGAGGAUUGUACGUUUCUGGACGCCUGACAUUCCCUGAAGUGAAUGCAGCCAGAAGAACUCAUCAAUCAUUUGAGUCUAUGAAUAAUGAGCCUCAUCAUCAUGAGCCCUCUCCACUUCUGGCAUUGCCGUUGGACAUGGUCCGAAAUAUACCUCUGGACUACAUGCAUCUGUGCUGCUUAGGUGUGAUGAAACUUAUGAUACGACUUUGGCUAUGUGGCCCUUUAGUAGCACGCUUUCCAGCUCGUACUGUAGAACUUAUAUCUGAUAGACUGUGUGCCCUUCGUUCGCAAAUUCCUGUCGAGUUUGCCCGUAAACCUCGCAGUCUCUAUGAGUUUCGAAUUUGGAAAGCUACAGAGCUCCGACAGUUUAUGCUGUACACAGGCAUCAUUGUUCUCAGGGGAGCCGUCCCCGGGGAAAUGUAUGACCUAUUCUUGCUGUACUCUAGUGCAAUGACUAUAUUGUUAUCGGACAAGUUGGCUAAGGAACAUGCUAGUUAUGCUGGAGAGCUUCUUGUGACAUUUGUGAAAAAUUUCGGCAUAUUGUUCGGGAACGCAUAUGUUGGUUACAAUGUACACGGCCUUGUGCAUUUAGCAGAUGACGCUGUUACUUAUGGAGGUUUGGAUUCUGUUUCUUGCUUUCCAUAUGAAAGCUACUUGUACCAACUCAAACGAGCUGUGCGUCGCCCGAAUUCCCCCGCCAUCCAGCUAAUGAAGCGUAUAGCUGAAAGGGAUGUGUAUGGCAGUAGGCAUGUCCUGAAAAAAGCACACAGGUUGACAAAGGCACACGCGGAUGGUCCAGUUCCACACGGCACUGCUCGUGUCCAGAAUCAGUACCAUAAGCUUGUAGGCAAUCUGACACUGUCGACAUCUGUGGGUGAUAACUGUGUUCUGGUCAAUGGUAAUUGUGUAGCACUUAUCCGAAACAUACUGAAAACUACUGACGAUACUGUGCUCGUCAUACAGCGUUUCCGAUCGCACGAACCAUUCUACACUUACCCUUUUGAUUCAUCAAAGUUGGGUAUUUACAAAGUGCACACCCUCUCGCAGUGUUGUGAAACAGUAUCGAUUGACACAAUGAAUGUAGUUCAGAAAUGCGUUCUAGCCAACGGUAGUCUCGAUGCCACGUAUCAUGUGUGUGUACCAGUCAUCCAUGACCAUUUUGAUUAUACUGCCUCAACUUAGCACUGUGUGUGAUCAUGGUAUGUGCUGUGAGUAUCUGAUGGUGUAUGUCCUUGAUGGAACACGCUGACCUAUAAGAGUUCCUGCAGUGCCAUUGAGUGACACUGUAAAAUGUUAUGUUCCAAUCCCUUCGUUUAGGUGUAACAUGUUUCGGGUCGUCGCGUUUUCCGACGCGCCCGAAGUAGCCGUCGUUAGUAAGAAAUGGUGGUCAGGUGAAGAAGAUGAGGCGACUCGAAAACCGCGAGGCUUCGUAUUCUGGCCCCCUUGCAAGACGAGUGGGGCCGUCGACCGCCUCCUGAAGGCUCACGCGGAGCCUGUCAGAACGGGGACCGGGCAGUGGACCAGGCACCCGGCAACUUCACUGUUCGCUACAGAUGAUUUACUUCUGGCAAGAAGGAAGGCGCAGAAGGCCGAAGAGGAGAGCGAUCUCACCAGCGAGGCUGAAGCUGUCGAAGCAACUACCCGUAUAAGGAGGAGGAAUCCACGUUUUGAUGACGAUUCAGAUGAAGAAACCGGAACCCGUGCUCGAAGGGAGCCAACUGGACUUUCUCGUCCACCACCCGCUCCACGAACCUUUGGCUUAGACGGUUCUGGGGGGCAAGGCACUUCCCUGAGUAGGCCUGCGAAUUCAUCACCAAGUGUCCAGACCGCCAGCGUUCCAGCGAGUACGCCAACGAGUGCUCCCAGACAGCCGUCAGAUGCUCGUCAAACUGUCAUUCUGGGGAAGAUAUUGAAGACGGUCGAAGGCAUACUAAACGUCGUCAAACAGAACGGAGCCAACAUCGAAGCGCUGCGGGCGGAGAUCUCCAAUUCCCAGACAAGACCCCGGAGGAUGGCGCCACUCCAAACCCUUGCGGAGCUGGAUGAGCUGGACAAGCAGCUGCACUCGCAGAGGGCCUUCUUUAACGAGGUGGUGGAGCAACUCAGCGCGUGUUGCACCAUGGCCCGAUCGGACCUGGAGCGGAACGUCCGUUCUGUAAUGCGCGGCACUGUGUCGGCCGAUCUGUCCGAGCACCUUUCCCUGAAAGGGAAGAAUGGGAAGAGGGCUAUAGCGGAAACCGUCCUCUUCGACGUUAUCUGCGUUUGGGUGGCUUUUCUGGCAGAGACACUGAGACGCUGCGGUGGCGCCAACCGAGACGCCGUCGGGAGGUGCGUGGGCCUCUGGCUCUCCGGCAGCCGGGAUCGGAACGGCAAACGUCUCCGAAGGCUCUCAAAAACCAAGGAGGCAGCUGGCCCGUCAGUGGCAGGCCAGGCCCCGACCGACCGACCUCCACUGCAGCCGGUGGAGAACCUCGAGACGCUGGAGGUCCGGCAGCCUGACUUCGAAACCCGCCAGGCUGAAGCCGAAGAGGCUGAAGCCGAAGAGGCUGAAGCCGAAGAGGCUGAACUCCCCAUGGAGCAAUGGUAGAUGGAGGAUACCAGCGCGGCGGUGUAUAUACGUAUAGUCAAGUGUUGAGCAAUACAUUACAA